rnacentral:rRNA from 1 species
AUUGAACGCUGGCGGCAUGCCUUACACAUGCAAGUCGAACGGCAGCACGGGUGCUUGCACCUGGUGGCGAGUGGCGAACGGGUGAGUAAUACAUCGGAACAUGUCCUGUAGUGGGGGAUAGCCCGGCGAAAGCCGGAUUAAUACCGCAUACGAUCUACGGAUGAAAGCGGGGGACCUUCGGGCCUCGCGCUAUAGGGUUGGCCGAUGGCUGAUUAGCUAGUUGGUGGGGUAAAGGCCUACCAAGGCGACGAUCAGUAGCUGGUCUGAGAGGACGACCAGCCACACUGGGAGUGAGACACGGCCCAGACUCCUACGGGAGGCAGCAGUGGGGAAUUUUGGACAAUGGGCGAAAGCCUGAUCCAGCAAUGCCGCGUGUGUGAAGAAGGCCUUCGGGUUGUAAAGCACUUUUGUCCGGAAAGAAAUCCUUGGCCCUAAUACGGUCGGGGGAUGACGGUACCGGAAGAAUAAGCACCGGCUAACUACGU